GUUAGGAAUAUUGGACAAUGGGCGAAAGCCUGAUCCAGCCAUGCCGCGUGAACGAUGAAGGCCUUCGGGUUGUAAAGUUCUUUAGCCGAUGAUUAUAAUGACUGUAGUCGGAAAAUAAGCCCCGGCUAACUUCGUGCCAGCAGCCGCGGUAAUACGAAGGGGGCGAGCGUUAUUCGGAAUCACUGGGCGUAAAGCGUGCGUAGGCGGUUUUGUAAGUUAGGAGUGAAAGCCCAGGGCUCAACCUUGGAAUUGCUCUUAAAACUGCAAGGAUCGAAUCUCGGAGAGGAUAGCGGAAUUUCCAGUGUAGCAGUGAAAUGCGUAGAUAUUGGAAGGAACACCAGUGGCGUAAGCGGCUAUCUGGACGAGUAUUGACGCUGAGGCACGAAAGCGUGGGGAUCAAACAGGAUUAGAAACCCGGGUAGUCC
rnacentral:rRNA from 1 species